rnacentral:rRNA from 1 species
UACAGAGGUCCCGAGCGUUGUUCGGAUUCACUGGGCGUAAAGGGUGCGCAGGUGGGUUUGCAAGUUUGAUGUGAAAGCCCCGAGCUUAACCCGGGAAUGGCAUUGAAUACUGCAGAUCUGGAGGAUUGGAGGGGGGACUGGAAUUCUUGGUGUAGCAGUGAAAUGCGUAGAUAUCAAGAGGAACACCAGUGGCGAAGGCGAGUCCCUGGACAAUACCUGACACUGAGGCACGAAAGCCAAGGGAGCAAACAGG